rnacentral:rRNA from 1 species
UACGUAGGGUGCAAGCGUUAAUCGGAAUUACUGGGCGUAAAGCGUGCGUAGGCGGCUAUGUAAGACAGAUGUGAAAUCCCUGGGCUUAACCUAGGAACUGCAUUUGUGACUGCAUUGCUAGAGUGUGGUAGAGGGAGAUGGAAUUCGCAUGUAGCAGUGAAAUGCGUAGAUAUGCGGAGGAACACCAAUGGCGAAGGCAAUCUCCUGGACCUGCACUGACGCUCAUGCACGAAAGCGUGGGGAGCAAACAGG